GACGAACGCUGGCGGCGUGCUUAACACAUGCAAGUCGAACGGAAAGGCCCUGCUUUUGUGGGGUGCUCGAGUGGCGAACGGGUGAGUAACACGUGAGUAACCUGCCCUUGACUUUGGGAUAACUUCAGGAAACUGGGGCUAAUACCUGCUAGGAGCUCCUGCUGCAUGGUGGGGGUUGGACAGUUUCGGCGGUUGUGGAUGGACUCGCGGCUUAUCAGCUUGUUGGUGGGGUAGUGGCUUACCAAGGCUUUGACGGGUAGCCGGCCUGAGAGGGUGACCGGCCACAUUGGGACUGAGAGACGGCCCAGACUCCUACGGGAGGCAGCAGUGGGGAAUAUUGCACAAUGGGCGGAAGCCUGAUGCAGCAACGCCGCGUGCGGGAUGACGGCCUUCGGGUUGUAAACCGCUUUCGCCUGUGACGAAGCGUGAGUGACGGUAAUGGGUAAAGAAGCACCGGCUAACUACGUG
rnacentral:rRNA from 1 species